rnacentral:rRNA from 1 species
ACUCCUACGGGAGGCAGCAGUGGGGAAUAUUGCACAAUGGGGGAAACCCUGAUGCAGCCAUGCCGCGUGUGUGAAGAAGGCCCUUGGGUUGUAAAGCACUUUCAGUAGGGAGGAAGGUAGUGUAGUUAACACCUGCAUUAUUUGUACGUUACCUACAGAAGAAGCACCGGCUAACUCCGUGCCAGCAGCCGCGGUAAUACGGAGGGUGCGAGCGUUAAUCGGAAUUACUGGGCGUAAAGCGCAUGCAGGCGGCCUGUUAAGUCAGAUGUGAAAGCCCGGGGCUUAACCUCGGAAUUGCAUUUGAAACUGGCAGGCUAGAGUCUUGUAGAGGGGUUAGAAUUUCAGGUGUAGCGGUGAAAUGCGUAGAGAUCUGAAGG